rnacentral:misc_RNA from 1 species
GCAAACUUGGUCAUUUAGAGGAAGUAAAAGUCGUAACAAGGUUUCCGUAGGUGAACCUGCGGAAGGAUCAUUAACGAGUUUAAAGUCGGCAGACCGUGCUGGCGGAGACGCAUGUGCACGUCGGUCGCAAAACCUCAUCCACACACCUGUGAACGUAUGGCCUUUCGGGUCUCCGACCUGGGGGCAAACCUUUUUUUACCCACUCUGUUUGUAAAGGAAUGUCUUACGUGUGAUAAACACAAAUGAAACAACUUUCAACAACGGAUCUCUUGGCUCUCGCAUCGAUGAAGAACGCAGC